rnacentral:rRNA from 1 species
GACGAACGCUGGCGGCGUGCUUAACACAUGCAAGUCGAACGGAAAGGCCCUGCUUGUGUGGGGUGCUCGAGUGGCGAACGGGUGAGUAACACGUGAGUAACCUGCCCUUGACUUUGGGAUAACUUCAGGAAACUGGGGCUAAUACCGGAUAGGAGCUCCUGCUGCAUGGUGGGGGUUGGAAAGUUUCGGCGGUUGGGGAUGGACUCGCGGCUUAUCAGCUGGUUGGUGGGGUAGUGGCUUACCAAGGCUUUGACGGGUAGCCGGCCUGAGAGGGUGACCGGCCACCUUGGGCCUGCGGUACGGCCCAGACUCCUACGGGAGGCAGCAGUGGGGAAUAUUGCACAAUGGGCGGAAGCCUGAUGCAGCAACGCCGCGUGCGGGAUGACGGCCUUCGGGUUGUAAACCGCUUUCGCCUGUGACGAAGCGUGAGUGACGGUAAUGGGUAAAGAAGCACCGGCUAACUACGUG